rnacentral:rRNA from 1 species
GACGAACGCUGGCGGCGUGCUUAACACAUGCAAGUCGAACGGUGAAGCGCCUUCCUUUUUGGUGGGUUUGUAUGAGUGGCGAACGGGUGAGUAACACGUGAGUAACCUGCCCCCUUCUUCUGGAUAACCGCAUGAAAGUGUGGCUAAUACGGGAUAUUCUGGUUCUGUCGCAUGAUGGGUCUGGGAAAGUUAUUGUUUCGGUGGGGGAUGGGCUCGCGGCCUAUCAGCUUGUUGGUGGGGUGAUGGCCUACCAAGGCGGUGACGAGUAGCCGGCCUGAGAGGGUCGGCGGCAAGAGAGGGAAGGAGAGACCGAGAAGACUACUAGGGGCGGCAGCAGUGGGGAAUAUUGCACAAGGGGAGGAAGGAUGAAGCAGCGACGCGGGGGGAGGGAUGGAGGUCGUAGGGUUGAGAACUGCUUUCGGGAGUGAAGAAGGGUUGACUCGAUUGUGGGUGGGUUGACGGUAGCUGGAUAAGAAGCGACGGCUAACUACGUG